UGAACUGCUACAGUAGAAGCAUGCCAUUUUUUGGUCUUCCAAACUGCAGCUGCAGUUCUACUGGAUGAAUAACACAGUGAACUGAGUUGUUACCUUGCAAUAAGGGGUUCUGCAGUUCAAGUCUCAGUUGGGGUACCUUCUGUAUGGAGUCUGUAUUUCCUCCCUGCAUCUAUGUCAGUUUUCUGUGGGUACUCCAGUUUCCUCCCAACUCCAAAAGACAUGCAGCAUUUGAAUUGCAAUUCUUUAACUUGCCUGUGGUGUGUGUGACUGAGAAUGCAUUCUGCAAAACAAAUGCAUCACCCCCAGUACAAGCUUCAUUGCCUUUGCUUCUACUGAUGCGGGGACUGGCAACAGCAUUCCUGAAACCUAGAAGAGGAAAAGAUGGAGCCCCUCAUACUGAAAAUUAACACAAGAUGAUACAGCAGUGAAACCACAAAAUAAGACACAGUUCCUCUGAAGAGCUUAUCUUAAUUAACCAUUAUGCUUUGCAGUUUUAUGUACAUAACUGGGUGUGGUUAUAGCAAAAAAAUUGAAAAACAAUGAAAUUAAAAAGUCAGACAGUA